GCUGACGAGUGGCGGACGGGUGAGUAAUGUCUGGGAAACUGCCUGAUGGAGGGGGAUAACUACUGGAAACGGUAGCUAAUACCGCAUAACGUCGCAAGACCAAAGAGGGGGACCUUAGGGCCUCUUGCCAUCGGAUGUGCCCAGAUGGGAUUAGCUAGUAGGUGGGGUAACGGCUCACCUAGGCGACGAUCCCUAGCUGGUCUGAGAGGA
rnacentral:rRNA from 1 species